GCUAAACAUAUCAAUUUCCAUCUUUUGACCAGACGGCCACUCAUCUGAGUCUCUUUUGCUCUGACUCUACAGAUAAUUAUGGAAUAAGAGCAUGUUACAAAAUGAACAUCAUCUUUUGUGCUUUUCUUCUACAAUGCCAAAGAGGACUCACAAGGAGCUUGCCAGACAGACCCAGCUUUAGCGAAGGAAAGUGCUUGCAAAGCAAGGAAAGGAAGAAGCAGUUCUUCUGAGGACUUAAAUUAAUGUUAAAAAGAAGGAAAAGAGUUGACAAGCAGUUUUCAGGGUUGGCAGAGGUUUAAGGAAAUUCUUUGGUGAGGCCCCUGCAAAGUCGGUCUUCUAAAAUGUGAAUGGUGUUGAUGGAAAUAUCUGAAGUGCUCUUUUGAGCAUGAAUUGGACUAUAACCACGUGGAUAUGUCAGAGAAUUUCUUAUCAGUCUUUCUAAAAAUAUCAAUAAGUAUAAAACUUACAGUUGUGAUGCUACUAGACAUUUCAUUUGUGGCAGAGUUUUUUGCUUGCUUUGUUUGCUCUUGGUAAGGUGUGAUCUUGGCCCAUUUGUUUGGGGAAUAUCUUACUAUGCACUCAGAUUCUAGUAAUGGAAAAGAAGAGCUAUGGGAUAAGGUGAACACUGGGUGGCAUUUUCUAAGUCAAUUUAAGUGACUUUGGGAAAUUUUCCCACAUGACUAGCUUAACACCUUGCUGAUUAUUAAGGAGAGGAAAUACAAAUAAAGGGCAGAGCUUCAAUAGUGGUAUUCCAAAGGAGACAGAGUGUUAGAAAGGACACAAAUUUUUUCACAAGUGUAAUUUGCUUAAUUAAAUCAGUAUAAAAUGAGCAUGCUUGAGUACAGGGUAUUUAAUGAACAUAGAGCAGGUGUGAUAAUGCAGUCAUAUAACUAUGAUAUUUUAC
rnacentral:lncRNA from 1 species